rnacentral:rRNA from 1 species
GAACUUACCAGGCCUUGACAUGCAGAGAACUUUCCAGAGAUGGAUUGGUGCCUUCGGGAACUCUGACACAGGUGCUGCAUGGCUGUCGUCAGCUCGUGUCGUGAGAUGUUGGGUUAAGUCCCGUAACGAGCGCAACCCUUGUCCUUAGUUACCAGCACGUUAUGGUGGGCACUCUAAGGAGACUGCCGGUGACAAACCGGAGGAAGGUGGGGGAUGACGUCAAGUCAUCAUGGCCCUUACGGCCUGGGCUACACACGUGCUACAAUGGUCGGUACAAAGGGUUGCCAAGCCGCGAGGUGGAGCUAAUCCCAUAAAACCGAUCGUAGUCCGGAUCGCAGUCUGCAACUCGACUGCGUGAAGUCGGAAUCGCUAGUAAUCGUGAAUCAGAAUGUCACGGUGAAUACGUUCCCGGGCCUU